ensembl:rRNA 5S_rRNA 5S ribosomal RNA
GUCUACAGCCAUGCUACCCUGGACUAGCCUGAUCUAAGAAGCUUAGUAGGGUUAGGCCUGGUUAGUACUUGUAUGGGAGACAGCCUGGGAAUACCGAGUGCUGUAGACU